GACAUGAAAACAGACAAGUGUCUGGUUUUAUAUUCUUUAAAUAAAAGUAUGUAGAAAGCUUUCCAAUAGUCAUACUGUCUUUUAUAUUUCAAUCAUCCACUGUCAUACUCCUUAAUUCUUUUAUCAGGGCCCAGAGCCCACUGCUGUAGCAAGUGGUCUAUAUGGAAAUAAUUUGCCAAUAGUAGUCGUAGGCACAAGAACUGGGCUCAUUCACAUGUGUAGUGAAGACUUAUUGGUACCCAGACAUCAAUCUGUACACCACGAAGGCAUGACGACCCAGCCUUGGAAUACCUUGUUCACCAAUGACAAAGCAGGAGACGCCAUUAUAACCGACAUCCGUCAGUUUUUAUUGGUAAAGGAAGUCAGAGUGCUAGGAGAGAACCACCGACCUUCAUUAGGAAAACUGACAAUCGUAGUCAAUUAAGAUUUGAGUCAAGGGCACCUUUAUCAUGAUAGAAACUAGCAAGAAAACAUAGGGACUACGUUAACUUUCAUUUUGGGUCAUUACGAGUCAAAGCUAAAGGUAGAGGUCGCCCAUGUGUUUCUGGCAAGAAGAAUAUUAAAAUCCCACCAACAAUUGUCAACCCACCAAAUACUAUCAGUGGGAGCUUUGCUAAAGAUGUUGCCUGCAAUUCUAUUCAAAGAAUAUAGAGAUUAAGAGUACCUGAUUACUGUUGGGAAGAUCUCACUACCAUACAGAUAUGUAACUGAAUAGGAGCCAGUAAUACCAAACUUUCCUAUCAUGGC